CAACCUGGUCACCAGGCAGUGUAGUUAGAUGAUUUGAAAUAAUAUCAAUCACUAACUACACAGCCAUGUGAAAGGGUCUG